rnacentral:lncRNA from 1 species
GAGAAGUCAGCCUGAAAUAUACACAGGUUUUGUAUUUCAUGAAUAUGUAUUUUCGAUCCCUGUUUGGUUGAAAAAUAUCUGUGUAUACGUGGACUUGUGUGGUUCAAACUGUGUUGUUCAAGGAGAUCAACUUACUUCAUUUCAUUUUAAAGAUCCCCAAAGAAGCUGAACAGAUCACAGGAAGAGCAGGAACACGUACAUGGUUCUGAUUUCAAGGUGGCAGAAUGGGCAGGAGGAGCAGAAGAAAUCUGUGUGUCUUUCUUUCAUCACUAGAAGUCCAAUGUGCUAUCCAUUGUGCCACAGUGCCACCUAUUUGUCUGUAUUUCUUCUAUUGUUUGACCACUAAGUGAAUCAGCAGCUCUGUGUGUCUGCUCCUUACUUGGCUCUCUACCAAUACCUUAUACUUCCCCAGUACUCUAUUUUUGUUGACUUUAUAGCUUCUGCUUACUCUUCCUCAUCUUAUUUAUCAUUUCUGUUUCCUUAUAACUUCGGCUGCCAAGGCUCAAGUUUUAUCUCAUUGACAUUCUUUCAGAUAGAGCCACCACUAGGGUUUUAGGGCCCUGUUUAUAUAAACAAUUUAAAGCCCUCUGGAAUGGUCAGGUGAGAACCUCUUAAAAUCUUUUCCUUCAUAAAAGCAACAGGAACUCUAGAAAAAAAAAUAGUCAAAAUUAAUUUUUCAAAAUUCUGGAAAUUAACCAAAAACUUGCAAUAGUUUGAAAAUGUUUUAUUUAAGAAAUAAUUGAAUGUUAGUAAGAACAGCACAUUUUUGUAGCAUUUAAACUUGUCCUAUCCCUUCUCCUUCUUACCAGCUACUCAGUAAUCUUGGAAACCAGCUAGCCUCAGAACUGUGCUAUGAAAACCAGCAGCCUAGUGGCCACUGAAGAGAACAGAAUGAGUUUGGAGCUCUUCAGAAAGCCUCAUACCCAGAAAAGGGUUACUAUUUGACCUGUCUGGCAGAUCCCUGGAGAAGAUCCAUUCUCAAAGCUUGUCUUUAUUAUAGCCAACUCAGAGCUUAGACUUGUAGGAAAUCAUCAAGUUACCAGCACAGCAUAUAUUCUGGGAGUCCCAGAAGAAGAAGAAUGAGAGAAAAGGACAGAAAAAAUAUUUGAAGGAAUAAUGACUAAAAUCUUUCCAAAUUCAAUAAAAACAUUAAUUUACACACACCAGAAUGUCAGCAAACUGAUAGCAGGAUAAACCUAAAGAGAUCCAUACCUAGACACAUUAUAGUCAAAAUACCAAAAGCCAAAGCCAAACAGGGAAUCUUGAAAGCAGCAGGAGAGA